GGGGAUAUAGCUCAGUGGUAGAGCAUGUGCUUCGCAUGUAAAAGGUCCUGGGUUCAAUCCCCAGUAUCUCCA